rnacentral:lncRNA from 1 species
AGGAGCCAGCAAGACUGUGAAGAGAAGUGUGUUGAACUGGAUCUCUGGAAUCUGAUUCAUAAUGCCACGACGGAGCCUGCUGCUGUCUGCAGUCAGUGACUUAUGGCCCAGACUGGCAGAGCAGAGACGGCACAGUUGCAGAAAAGAAAAGAAAGCUGACGAGCUCUGGAGUGAAGGGUGCUGUUCUGGGCCAUCUACUGUCGCUUAGUUUCCUGGCACGAAGGAGAUUCCAGGAAAACAGCAACUUCCUGCCAGCUGUAGUACUGAUUCCUCUCCAGCUGAAAUAUAAGAAAUGUUGCUGCAGCCAACAAACUAAGCUAUUUCAGAAUAUUCUGUUCCAUCCAGGAUUUGUGCUUUGGCAUACUGCUUGACUGAACAUCUUCAAUCCUUGAAGGCAUCCUUUGCAGGAUGAACAAGUGGAGCAGAAUUGUUACCUGGCUGGAGAGAAAAGCUUCACAGAACUGGGUACAGACAGCAAACCUGUAAGUAGAGAAAUUCUCAUUUACCUGGUUUAGAUUCAAGUCAGCAGAUCUCUAUUUCCCUG